rnacentral:rRNA from 1 species
CAGCCGCCGCGGUAAUGCGAAGGGUGCAAGCGUUAAUCGGAAUUACUGGGCGCAAAGCGUGCGUAGGCGGUGAGUUAAGUCUGCUGUGAAAUCCCCGGGCUCAACCUGGGAAUGGCAGUGGAUACUGGCUCGCUAGAGUGUGUCAGAGGAUGGUGGAAUUCCCGGUGUAGCGGUGAAACGCGUAGAGAUCGGAAGGAACAUCUGUGGCGAAGGCGACUAUCUGGGCCAACACUGACACUGAGGCACGAAAGCGUGGGGAGCAAACAGGAUUAGAUACCCGCGAGUCCCUGUCUCUUAUACA